CGUUGCGGUAGGGCGGGAAGGGGACACCCUAGGGUGUGCUGGGUCUGUAUGUCCAGUCUGUCAACCCCUUUUCGUUCUGCCACCCUA
rnacentral:antisense_RNA from 2 species